rnacentral:rRNA from 1 species
GAUGAACGCUGGCGGCGUGCCUAAUACAUGCAAGUAGAACGCUGAAGAGAGGAGCUUGCUCUUCUUGGAUGAGUUGCGAACGGGUGAGUAACGCGUAGGUAACCUGCCUUGUAGCGGGGGAUAACUAUUGGAAACGAUAGCUAAUACCGCAUAACAAUGGAUGACACAUGUCAUUUAUUUGAAAGGGGCAAUUGCUCCACUACAAGAUGGACCUGCGUUGUAUUAGCUAGUAGGUGAGGUAAUGGCUCACCUAGGCGACGAUACAUAGCCGACCUGAGAGGGUGAUCGGCCACACUGGGACUGAGACACGGCCCAGACUCCUACGGGAGGCAGCAGUAGGGAAUCUUCGGCAAUGGGGGCAACCCUGACCGAGCAACGCCGCGUGAGUGAAGAAGGUUUUCGGAUCGUAAAGCUCUGUUGUAAGUCAAGAACGGGUGUGAGAGUGGAAAGUUCACACUGUGACGGUAGCUUACCAGAAAGGGACGGCUAACUACGUG